rnacentral:rRNA from 1 species
CGCUCUGCGUCGUAAACUGCUUUUUACAAGGAAGAAAAGAUUUGUUUCUACAGAUUUUGACGGUACUUGAGGAAUAAGCACCGGCUAACUCCGUGC